AUUCCUACGGGAGGCAGCAGUCGGGAAUUUUGCUCAAUGGGCGAAAGCCUGAAGCAGCAACGCCGCGUGAGGGAUGAAGGCCUUCGGGUUGUAAACCUCUUUUUCCAGGGACGAUAAUGACGGUACCUGAAGAAUAAGUCACGGCUAACUACGUGCCAGCAGCCGCGGUAAUACGUAGGUGACAAGCGUUGUCCGGAUUUACUGGGCGUAAAGAGCGCGCAGGCGGUCGUUCAAGUCGAGUGUGAAAGCCCCCGGCUCAACUGGGGAGGGUCAUUCGAUACUGAUCGACUCGAAGGCAGGAGAGGGAAGCGGAAUUCCCGGUGUAGUGGUGAAAUGCGUAGAUAUCGGGAGGAACACCAGUGGCGAAGGCGGCUUCCUGGCCUGUUCUUGACGCUGAGGCGCGAAAGCUAGGGGAGCAAACGGGAUUAGAUACCCCGGUAGUCCUAGCCGUAAACGAUGGACACUAGGUGUUGGUGGUAUCAACCCCACCAGUGCCGAAGCUAACGCAUUAAGUGUCCCGCCUGGGGAGUACAGCCGCAAGGCUAAAACUCAAAGGAAUUGACGGGGCCCCGCACAAGCAGCGGAGCGUGGGGUUUAAUUCGAUGCAACGCGAAGAACCUUACCAGGGCUUGACAUGACCAGGAAUCCGGUGGAAACGUCGGCGCCCCGCAAGGGGCCUGGCCACAGGUGUUGCAUGGCUGUCGUCAGCUCGUGUCGUGAGAUGUUGGGUUAAGUCCCGCAACGAGCACAACCCCUAUCGUGUGUUGUAUCACUCACACGAGACUGCCGAGAGAAACUCGGAGGAAGGCGGGGAUGACGUCAAGUCAGCAUGGCCCUUACGUCCUGGGCUACACCCACGCUACAAUGGCCGGUACAACGGGCGGCGAAACCGCGAGGUGGAGCAAAUCCCUUAAAGCCGGUCUCAGUUCGGAUUGUAGGCUGCAACUCGCCUACAUGAAGCCGGAGUUGCUAGUAACCGCCGGUCAGCAUACGGCGGUGAAUAUGUUCCCGGGCCUUGUACACACCGCAUCCAUAUG
rnacentral:rRNA from 1 species